ACAGCAGUAGCCACGGUAAUACGUAGGUGGCAAGCGUUGUCCGGAAUUAUUGGGCGUAAAGGGCUCGCAGGCGGUUUCUUAAGUCUGAUGUGAAAGCCUCCGGCUCAACCGGGGAGGGUCAUUGGAAACUGGGAAACUUGAGUGCAGAAGAGGAGAGUGGAAUUCCACGUGUAGCGGUGAAAUGCGUAGAGAUGUGGAGGAACACCAGUGGCGAAGGCGACUCUCUGGUCUGUAACUGACGCUGAGGAGCGAAAGCGUGGGGAGCGAACAGGAUUAGAUACCCGCGUAGUCCCUGUCUCCUAUAC
rnacentral:rRNA from 1 species